UAUGAUCAUAUCACAUUGAAACACUGGUUCCUAUAUGAUCACCAAAGUUAAGCAACGUCGAGUCUGGUCAGUACCUAGAUGGGUGCCUGCUUGGGAAUAUUAGGUGUUGUCAG
rnacentral:rRNA from 1 species